GAUGAACGCUGGCGGCGUGCCUAACACAUGCAAGUCGAACGAAGCUUGACGGAUGAUUUCUUCGGAAUGAAACCAGAUAUGACCUAGUGGCGGACGGGUGAGUAACACGUGAGCAACCUGCCUUUCAGAGGGGGAUAACGGCUGGAAACGGUCGCUAAUACCGCAUGAUGUGUUCGGAUGGCAUCAUCUGAACAUCAAAGAUUUAUCGCUGAAAGAUGGGCUCGCGUCUGAUUAGAAAGUUGGUGGGGUAACGGCCUACCAAGUCUACGAUCAGUAGCCGGACUGAGAGGUUGAACGGCCACAUUGGGACUGGGAUACGGCCCAGACUCCUACGGGAGGCAGCAGUGGGGAAUAUUGCACAAUGGGGGAAACCCUGAUGCAGCAACGCCGCGUGAAGGAUGACGGUUUUCGGAUUGUAAACUCCUUUUCUUAGUGACGAAGACAGUGACGGUAGCUAAGGAAUAAGCAUCGGCUAACUACGUG
rnacentral:rRNA from 1 species